GAUGAACGCUGGCGGCGUGCUUAACACAUGCAAGUCGAACGGAAAGGCUCCUGCUUGCAGGGGUACUCGAGUGGCGAACGGGUGAGUAACACGUGGGUGAUCUGCCCUGCACUUCGGGAUAAGCCUGGGAAACUGGGUCUAAUACCGGAUAGGACGAUGGUUUGGAUGCCAUUGUGGAAAGUUUUUUCGGUGUGGGAUGAGCUCGCGGCCUAUCAGCUUGUUGGUGGGGUAAUGGCCUACCAAGGCGUCGACGGGUAGCCGGCCUGAGAGGGUGUACGGCCACAUUGGGACUGAGAUACGGCCCAGACUCCUACGGGAGGCAGCAGUGGGGAAUAUUGCACAAUGGGCGCAAGCCUGAUGCAGCGACGCCGCGUGGGGGAUGACGGCCUUCGGGUUGUAAACUCCUUUCGCUAGGGACGAAGCGCAAGUGACGGUACCUGGAGAAGAAGCGCCGGCUAACUACGUG
rnacentral:rRNA from 1 species